rnacentral:sRNA from 1 species
CGCCGGAAUCCCAGCUCCACUUACCAGGCCGCGGCUACCCUGCCGUCCCCCCCGACUCCCGCCACCCCGCUCUCCCAGGCUCUUCAGGAUCCAAGUCUGUAGGCCCUUUAAGGGGUCUAAUUGCCGUUUGCGGGGCCCUGGGACUUUGAUCCCAGACAGCGAGGAUCCGGAUGGCUUCCGUGCGGAUCCGAGAGGCCAAGGAGGGAGACUGUGGAGAUAUCCUGAGGCUGAUUCGGGUGAAGACUGCGGGCCGGAAACCCGGGGGUCAGAGUGGCGCGGCCAGAGCGGGGUCGUAGGAGGCGGGGGCAGGGGGAGGGGCUCGCCUUGGGAACCUGCUCCGGGAGCAGCGGGGCCCUUCUGCUCUAAUCUAGCUUCCGUACCCACGCCUUAGGAGCUAGCCGAAUUCGAAAAACUCUCGGAUCAGGUGAAGAUCAGUGAAGAAGCCCUGAGAGCAGAUGGCUUUGGAGACAAUCCUUUCUAUCACUGUUUGGUAGCAGAGAUUCUUCCAGCGCCCGGGAAGCUACUGGGUAAGAGCACCUGGCCCUUAGAAGUCCCCCACUCCAGCCGGCCUCAGAGGUCUCCCCACAGGCUCCCAGAAGCCUUACUCCCCUUUUCUCUCUCUCAGGGCCCUGCGUGGUGGGCUAUGGGAUAUACUAUUUCAUCUACAGUACAUGGAAGGGACGCACCAUUUAUCUGGAGGAUGUCUAUGUG